UAAUUACAUUUUGUCCAAAUGUUAUCCGUUGCCCUAUAUUCUCGAUGCUUCUUCUCUCUCUUCAUUCACCUUUCUCUCUCAAUCUUUCGACCGCUGUCAACAUGAAGAUGAUGAUCGGAGCUCCGAUUUGCAUCAAGGAGAUGAUAACUAUCUGAUUUGGGUCCUCUGUGGUCGAUGCAAAGGUCGUUCUUCAAGCUUAGCUGAAUCUGGAUGUCUUGAUGUGGCUGUGUCUCAUUUCCACCAUUUUCAGGCCGUUAAAGCUCAGAUUGAUUAGUCCGAUCCCCCUUUGUGCCCGUUCCUCCGAUUUCAAGAAGAAGAUUGGUCUCGUCUAUGGAUUUAUACUGUUCGUCCAUGGCCUUGUCACCAUGCACCUUCACUUCAGUCUGGGCUUCUUUUUCAGUAUCCUCCCCUAGGAUUUGAAAAGCAUUUGGCCAGAUCAACGACUAAAGGUUUCCCAACUGCUGAAGCUAGUGAGAAAACUGCCUCCCUUGCAAAGAAGUUGGGAGGUAAUUCGGGGAAGCUUAUCCAUGCUACGGCAAUUGAAGUCUCCUCAUUUGGCUUGAACCAAGGAUUCCAGAUUAGCGACCUCAUUUGACAGUAUGUUGAUUGAAUUUUGAUGUAACAAGCAGGGGUUGAGAUCAUUUUAACAUAGUCCUCCAAUAAAUCCAGUCUUAUUAAAAUGUGUCUUUCCUCUAUUAAUCCAAUUGUACAGCGACCCUUAAUAGAGCAUUGAUCAGGGAUUGCAUCUCUCAGUGCUUUAACAUCAAUUAUAUCAUGUGAAAACUUACCCAACACAGCAUAUUGAAGAUUCUCCUUUAAUAUCAAUUUUUUCACUUCAGACGA